UUUUACAUGUUGUAUAUUUUGGAGGCAACAGAAGUCCAUGAUCAAACUGAUUGUUGAUGCUGAUACCGAUUAAGUUAUUGGGGCAUCCACGUGUCACCCAGUUGCAGCUGAAAUCAUGCAGGGCAUUGCUGUUGCAUAUUGAAAAGUCGAGCUAGUAAGGCACAUUUUGACAGGGUAGGCAUCCACCCUUUUGCCACUGAAGAGUUCGUAAUGCGAUCAGUGAGUGGACGUGUUCCUCCAGGUGUAAAAGAUCAAAAAGAAAAGAUUAUCAAAGUGAAGAAAAUCAUGUCAGACAGGGCAGUGUAUUAGUUGGGUUAUUGAUCUACAUCUCUCAGCGGCAUUUUCAAUUCUUUGUUAUGUUUUCGUUUCAAUAAAAGUACAUGUUUUAGUCAUUAUACUGUAAGAGAAUUUUUGUAUAUUUUUU